rnacentral:tRNA from 2 species
GUCAGCGUGGCUCAGUUGAUAAGACUGGUAAUCAAGGCUGUAUAUAUUAGAGAUGUGUGAGUUCAAAUCUCACUGCUGAUA